CCAGCUCAGCAGGUGCAGAAUCUACCCACAGGGAAGAUUUUAGCCCUGGAGUCGGCGGUGGGCUGGUGGUGGCAGUGUUAGUGGCAGAUGCCACUGUCACACCUCUUAUGUGGGUCACCAUGUUCUUCCACACCUUGUCUUCCCUCUGUCAUCCAUCCUAAUAGCCCCCAGAGGAUCCUGGCCUGUAUGGGUGAGGACAUUAGCUCAACACAGCUCUGCUGAGGUUAAGAAGAAAGUCUGGACAUCUGCUGCUGGGCCUCUGUGCUCAACUGUUCUAGAAUCGAGACUGUAGGACUGAGGUAUCCACCAACCUGACAAUCUAAAGGCUAAGUCUUCUCAAAUCAAUGUUUUUUUCUUGAUCUUGAAGUUACCAUCCCUUCUUUCUGCUCGGAGGAGCCCAGUUCCUCCCUAAGAGGGAGGAGCCAGGAUAUGAUCCCCUGAAGCAAUGGGAGUCCAGUCAGCCCUGCGUUUGAGUUCACCCUGCUGAGCCACUGCUGCUGCAGAGAGAAGACUGAGCAGGGCCAGUGAGGACACUGCCACAGACCAUUUGCUGGCUCCUUGCACGAAUGGGGUUCCUGUCGCUGAGCCUGGAUUAGGUGGAUGUGAAAGGAAGACUGACUGGCAGCGGGCAGAAAACUGCAGCAGGAGAGUCUCCUCAAGACUACGCUGAGUGGAAGCUCUUGGAACAAGAAGGAUUUAACCCAUGGCUCCAGAAGAAAGAAGGAUGCCCUUUGUGAACAGAGCAACUCAACUCUUGCUGCCCCAGCGAUUACACUUAAAGUGACAUGUUUAUUUCUGUUUUAAUAAAAGUUGGAAGCUUACGUUCUCUCGGGCACAGAAGAGCUGAGUGAGAAAGGGCAUGAUUAAUUAAACAAACACUUGACAAAAUCACUCUGC